CUAAAACAUACUAAAAUAAAAGCUUAAAAGUUAAAAACGUUUCGGCAGUUCUGCCUUCAUCAGUUUAUAAACUAUAGUCUAUAAACAUUGUCAGGGGACAAUGUCUCCUGAUGAUCGCAGUGAUGCGUGAAACUCGGAAUAGAGACAAAAAAACAUUUUAAGUAAGAAUAGUAAUUACAUUCGCUCUACGAAAUUUUUUAUGUAUUGAGCACUCUCUUCACUAUACGUUACAAAACUUGUGAUAUAUAUUCGAGUUGUGACCAUCGGUUAUUUUAUUUACUAUAUACAGCCAAUUCAAAAAAGGUCGUCCUUUGCAAACCUUAAACUCUAAGCGCGCAAAGCUUAAUGGAAGCACACGUUUCAAGCUUAGUAGGUGAAUAUUGCAGCUAUUUGUGAAUGAAUUGUCCUCGUAAGGAGAUAUUUACCAUGUUUCUAAGAAAUGGACCUCAUAUAUGAUUUCUAAAAUAAUGCUCCUAUUAUGUUUUGUUUGCACGCUUAGAGAUUAAGGUUUGCAAAGGACAACCUUUUUUGAAUUAGCUGUAUACUAUAUAGGUCAGCAACAGUGAUUCCUCUAUAGUUAACUUUUCUAAUUAUGAUUUCGACUCAAUCGUAUGUGAGAAGAGUGCUAUUAGUUCCAGUACAACUCUAUUAUACAAGACAGGGCAAGAUUUUUCCAAGUACACCGCUUUCCUCUUGUGCCGAAACUCUAGAGAGAACAGGUUAUAGAACUUUUCAUUCAUUUGACUAAGGAUUUACUUUAUCAAAAACUGAGUUAAAUUUGCACAUAAAUUUAAGGUAAUUUUAUUUACUAAUUUUAAUAUUUCGAG